UUUGAGUGGUUUUGUUAAAUAUUGAAGUGUUAUUAUAUUAUAUAAUUAUUCGCCUUAAGAAUAUUUUAGUUAUCUUUUUUAUUAAAAAGUCCGCACAAGAAUAUGUUUUUUUUAAUUUAGUAUAACUUCACGAUCAAAUAAACACUAUAGUAUUUAUUUCGAAAGUUGUUUAUUGAUUUUAGUGAGAUUUUCUGUGUUUCUUUUUAUUGUUUUUAUGGAGCCGAUUUAAAAGACGUCCGUCUUAUAACUUGAUAACUAUCAAGUUAUAUUUAUUUAAUUGCAGAGAACAGAAAAUUACAAAUGUCUUCAAUUUAAGCGCUAAAUCUAUCAUUUUUGGCUUCUGAGAUUCAUAAGAUACAGCUUAAUUACAAUUGGAAUCGAUGUCGACAAACCACAAAGAAAGAGCGAGCGACGAAUUAAAAUUAAGCGACAUACCACAUUUUCUGGCGCUAAUUAGAAAAAAUCAAAGCAAAAUGAUGUUUUUGUUUAAAAUUAGAAUUAUUUUUCAGAAUAAAUAGAAAUGGUUAAAAAAUUCUUCAGAAUAAAA